GCAGACGUGGCCGAGCGGUCCAAGGCGUGACGUUCAGGUCGUCAUAUGCGUAAGCAUGCGCAGGUUCGAAUCCUGCCGUCUGCA
rnacentral:tRNA from 1 species